AUGCAUUUUCUCAACAUGUGUGAUACUAGCUUCUACUUGUCAGUUUUUGUGUUGAACAAAAGAGAAAUUCAUGCCCUGUCAAUUGAACUAUGUAUGGUUCUGAUUAUAAUUGUGGCUAAUUAUUAUGAGAAAGGAAAUAUUGUCACUGUUACUUCAAUAUGUAUUGCUUGCUACCUUUGUAUUGUUGCCUUCUACACUGGUGUAGAUUAG